UUUUUAUAAAGAGGCGCCGAGAGACAGGCUCGUUGACGCGCCGGCAACCCCCCGCCUUUGGCGGGCCCGGUGCCAAGGCCUGGUUCUAUAAAAC
rfam:Hymenobacter sp. PAMC26628, complete genome.